rnacentral:misc_RNA from 1 species
GGUAGUAAAAGUCGUAACAAGGUUUCCGUAGGUGAACCUGCGGAAGGAUCAUUCAUAAUAAGUGUUUUAUGGCACUUUUUUAAAUCCAUAUCCACCUUGUGUGCAAUGUCAGGGUUGAUUUUUCUCUCGAGAGGAUCAACCCCAAACAUCAACUAUAUCUCAACUCUUUGUCUGAAAAAUAUUAUGAAUAAAACAAUUCAAAAUACAACUUUCAACAACGGAUCUCUUGGCUCUC